AACGUAGGGGGCAAGCGAUAUCCGGAUUUACUGGGUGUAAAGGGAGCGUAGGUGGCUGUGCAAGUCAGAUGUGAAAGCCCAGGGCUCAACCCUGGGACUGCAUUUGAAACUGCAGAGCUAGAGUGCAGGAGAGGUAAGUGGAAUUCCUAGUGUAGCGGUGAAAUGCGUAGAUAUUAGGAGGAACACCAGUGGCGAAGGCGGCUUACUGGACUGUAACUGACACUGAGGCUAGAAAGCGUGGGGAGCAAACAGG
rnacentral:rRNA from 1 species